rnacentral:snoRNA from 2 species
ACGAUCUUACUUGAAUUGGAUCUGCUCCAUGGGCUCAUGCCCCUGUGUCCUUUAGCACAAAGGACUCAGGAUUUAAAGUCUGGUGGAUGGGUUAAUGCCUUGUCAUCAGAGCGUGUUUAAUAGCUUCUUGUGUCUGGGAGCCGUUGAGGAUCGUUCUUGGCUGGGAUGAUCACAGGGCUGUCUGACAGGCU